rnacentral:tRNA from 1 species
UCCGCUGUAGCACAAAGGUUAAUUUCAAAUGAUGAAAUCCGGGUUCAAACCCCGGCAGCGGAA